ensembl:lncRNA
CAUCUCUCCAAAGUCAAACUAUCCCGUAUGUAUCCGAACGUUGACCCUACCUGUGAUAAGUGUGGGAGUGCGGAGGCUUCCCUUAUUCAUAUGUUCUGGAAGUGCCCUAGCCUCGAAGGAUUCUGGAGAGAUAUAUUUCAGACCUUAUCCCUACUUGUUGGACACCAUAUGGAUCCUGACCCUUUAGUUGCGCUUUUUGGCACCACUGGAGAGGCUGAUGCACGGUUGACCUCGUCACAGCGUUGCAUGCUCUCCUUCGCCUCCCUUGUAGCUAGACGUACAAUCCUCCUAAGAUGGAGGGGUGCCCCUUUGCCCACCCAGGCUCAGUGGCUGAGGGACCUUAUGUACUAUCUGAGCCUUGAAAAGAUCCGGUAUGCGAUUAGCAACAACAGCGGUAAGUUUUACAAGGUGUGGGGGCAAUUCCUGAAAUACUUUUCCAGCCUCCAGGCUACAAACCCGACUUCCAGCGUUGCUCAGUAAAUCCUCCCCCCUUCUUCUUCUUUUUAUUUAUUUACUUAUUUAUUUAUUGUUAGUCGUUUGUGUGUUUUUCUUAUUUUGUUUUUGAUUUAUCUGUGAUGUUGUUUUUAUUUGUUUGCUUCUUUUUUCUUGCUUUGUUUGUUUGGUUUUUUCCUUCCUGGUCUGAGGGAUAGGGGUUCUAAGCGUUGUGGGUAGGGGAUAAACUGCUGGAAGCAAUUAUAAGACAUGUGAGUGUGUCAUUAAUCUGUAUUCUGAUAUUUCAGUUUUAACAGUCGCUGUGAAACUUGCUUGUUUGGUGUUUGUCAAUUCUGCGUGUAUUUGCUUUUCUUUGUUGCUUCAACUCAAUAAAAAUAUCUUUGAGAGAAAAAAAAAAAGCUGCAGAGGGACGUAACAACAACCCUAGUGGGCGUCUCCCAUUUUGACCUAGGGACUUCCAGGCCAUAUUCGGCGCAUAUGUUUCUGUACACUAUGUCGGCCACUUGGUUAUGGUGUUCCAUGUAUGCCCUGCCUGCUAGCAUCUUACAUCCUGCUGUUAUGUGCUGGAUUGUCUCAGGAGGCAUCUUUACACAGCCUGGUGUGAUAGACCCCAGCCUCUGGAUCUUGUGCUCAGAGCUUGUUCCUGUGCUGCCAUCAGUGUUGGUCAAGUUACUU